rnacentral:rRNA from 1 species
AAGCAGCUUGCUGCUUCGCUGACGAGUGGCGGACGGGUGAGUAAUGUCUGGGAAACUGCCUGAUGGAGGGGGAUAACUACUGGAAACGGUAGCUAAUACCGCAUAACGUCGCAAGACCAAAGAGGGGGACCUUCGGGCCUCUUGCCAUCGGAUGUGCCCAGAUGGGAUUAGCUUGUUGGUGGGGUAACGGCUCACCAAGGCGACGAUCCCUAGCUGGUCUGAGAGGAUGACCAGCCACACUGGAACUGAGACACGGUCCAGACUCCUACGGGAGGCAGCAGUGGGGAAUAUUGCACAAUGGGCGCAAGCCUGAUGCAGCCAUGCCGCGUGUAUGAAGAAGGCCUUCGGGUUGUAAAGUACUUUCAGCGGGGAGGAAGGGAGUAAAGUUAAUACCUUUGCUCAUUGACGUUACCCGCAGAAGAAGCACCGGCUAACUCCGUGCCAGCAGCCGCGGUAAUACGGAGGGUGCAAGCGUUAAUCGGAAUUACUGGGCGUAAAGCGCACGCAGGCGGUUUGUUAAGUCAGAUGUGAAAUCCCCGGGCUCAACCUGGGAACUGCAUCUGAUACUGGCAAGCUUGAGUCUCGUAGAGGGGGGUAGAAUUCCAGGUGUAGCGGUGAAAUGCGUAGAGAUCUGGAGGAAUACCGGUGGCGAAGGCGGCCCCCUGGACGAAGACUGACGCUCAGGUGCGAAAGCGUGGGGAGCAAACAGGAUUAGAUACCCUGGUAGUCCACGCCGUAAACGAUGUCGACUUGGAGGUUGUGCCCUUGAGGCGUGGCUUCCGGAGCUAACGCGUUAAGUCGACCGCCUGGGGAGUACGGCCGCAAGGUUAAAACUCAAAUGAAUUGACGGGGGCCCGCACAAGCGGUGGAGCAUGUGGUUUAAUUCGAUGCAACGCGAAGAACCUUACCUGGUCUUGACAUCCACGGAAGUUUUCAGAGAUGAGAAUGUGCCUUCGGGAACCGUGAGACAGGUGCUGCAUGGCUGUCGUCAGCUCGUGUUGUGAAAUGUUGGGUUAAGUCCCGCAACGAGCGCAACCCUUAUCCUUUGUUGCCAGCGGUCCGGCCGGGAACUCAAAGGAGACUGCCAGUGAUAAACUGGAGGAAGGUGGGGAUGACGUCAAGUCAUCAUGGCCCUUACGACCAGGGCUACACACGUGCUACAAUGGCGCAUACAAAGAGAAGCGACCUCGCGAGAGCAAGCGGACCUCAUAAAGUGCGUCGUAGUCCGGAUUGGAGUCUGCAACUCGACUCCAUGAAGUCGGAAUCGCUAGUAAUCGUGGAUCAGAAUGCCACGGUGAAUACGUUCCCGGGCCUUGUACACACCGCCCGUCACACCAUGGGAGUGGGUUGCAAAAGAAGUAGGUAGCUUAACCUUCGGGAGGGCGCUUACCACUUUGUGAUUCAUGACUGGGGUGAAGUCGUAACAAGGUAACCGUAGGGGAACCUGCGGUUGGAUCACCUCCUUACCUUAAAGAAGC